CCUCCUACGGGAGGCAGCAGUGAGGAAUAUUGGUCAAUGGACGGAAGUCUGAACCAGCCAUGCCGCGUGCAGGAUGACGGCUCUAUGAGUUGUAAACUGCUUUUGUAUUAGGGUAAACACCCCUACGUGUAGGGGCUUGAAAGUAUAAUACGAAUAAGGAUCGGCUAACUCCGUGCCAGCAGCCGCGGUAAUACGGAGGAUCCAAGCGUUAUCCGGAUUUAUUGGGUUUAAAGGGUGCGUAGGCGGGAUGCCAAGUCAGCGGUAAAAUCGCGGGGCUCAACCUCGCUCCGCCGUUGAAACUGGCG
rnacentral:rRNA from 1 species